CCUACGGGAGGCAGCAGUGAGGAAUAUUGGUCAAUGGGCGCGAGCCUGAACCAGCCAAGUCGCGUGAGGGAGGACGGCCCUACGGGUUGUAAACCUCUUUUGCCGGGGAGCAACGGGCGCCACGUGUGGCGCCACUGAGAGUACCCGGAGAAAAAGCAUCGGCUAACUCCGUGCCAGCAACCGCGGUAAUACGGAGGAUGCGAGCGUUAUCCGGUUUUAUUGGGUUUAAGGGGUGCGUAGGCGGUUCGUUAAGUCGGUGGUAAAAUGGGGGGGUCCAACCCCUACCCGCAGUUGAAACUGGCGAUCUUGAGUGGAAGAGAGGUAUGCGGAAUGCGUGGUGUAGCGGUGAAAUGCAUAGAUAUCACGCAGAACCCCGAUUGCGAAGGCAGCAUGCCGGCUUCCGACUGACGCUGAGGCACGAAAGCGUGGGGAUCGAACAGGAUUAGAUACCCGAGUAGUC
rnacentral:rRNA from 1 species